GGCUGCGUAGCAAAAUGGUUAUGCAUCGGUUUGCAAAACCGCGUACGCCGGUUCGAUUCCGGCCGCAGCCU
rnacentral:tRNA from 1 species